rnacentral:rRNA from 1 species
GGGAGGCAGCAGUGAGGAAUAUUGGUCAAUGGGCGAGAGCCUGAACCAGCCAAGUAGCGUGAAGGAUGACUGCCUAUGGGUUGUAAACUUCUUUUAUAAAGGAAUAAGUCGGGUAUGCAUACCCGUUUGCAUGUACUUUAUGAAUAAGGAUCGGCUAACUCCGUGCCAGCAGCCGCGGUAAUACGGAGGAUCCGAGCGUUAUCCGGAUUUAUUGGGUUUAAAGGGAGCGUAGAUGGAUGUUUAAGUCAGUUGUGAAAGUUUGCGGCUCAACCGUAAAAUUGCAGUUGAUACUGGAUAUCUUGAGUGCAGUUGAGGCAGGCGGAAUUCGUGGUGUAGCGGUGAAA